GGGCGUGUGGUCUAGUGGUAUGAUUCUCGCUUUGGGCGAUUCUUAAGAGAAACUUAGGGAAUAAAUCACAAACAUGCGAGAGGCCCUGGGUUCAAUUCCCAGCUCGCCCC
rnacentral:tRNA from 1 species